AGUAAAUGUGAUGGGUGACACCUGUAGGGUGUGGCUCUGCCAUUAAGGCUCCUUUAAAUAGGAGUGGGCGGGGCUGCACGGCAGUGCCACAUUCUUGUGGGUGGCCAGGAUGACCGCUGGGCCCACACUGCGGCAGCUGUGAGCCAUUGGGGGCUACAGUAUCUGAAGGCUGACCUACAGCGUAAAUGACUGGGUGUGGGUCCUCGAUACCUCAGAGCUGGAAGGUGAAGCCCUUGAGUCGGCGUGGGCAACGUUAAACCCCCUCACUAUGCGUGCCGAAGUGGCUUCACGCCUGUUCCACAUAUACUAACUGCUAAUUCAAGGACACCUGAUGGCCCCCCACCUCACUGCCUCAGUGCUCAGCGUGCCCCUCACCCUCUGUUGUGAUGAAGACCGCCAGCCGCACCCAGUCCUGCAGCAGUCCCUCCCUGGUCCAGAUGAGGCGCUACACUCCCGAGGUCUAUCCUUACCUGUUUCCAUCAGUCAUCAGCUCCCUGCCCCAGCUGCGUCCCCCCUCACCUCAAAGAUCACAAGUUCAGCAGCCGAGCAGCAGCAGCAGCAACACACCGUCAC